UUCGUAGGCGGUGCGGCAAGUUGGGAGUGAAAUCUCUGGGCUUAACCCAGAGGCCGCUUCCAAAACUGCUGUGCUUGAGUGUGGGAGAGGCGCGUGGAAUUGCAGGUGUAGCGGUGAAAUGCGUAGAUAUCUGCAGGAACACCCGUGGCGAAAGCGGCGCGCUGGACCACAACUGACGCUGAGGAACGAAAGCUAGGGGAGCAAACAGGAUUAGAUACCCUGGUAGUCCUAGCCCUAAACGAUCAGGACUUGGGGUGCCGCCCGUUCGGGCGUCGUCCCGGAGCUAACGCGUUAAGUCCUGCACCUGGGGAGUACGGUCGCAAGACUGAA
rnacentral:rRNA from 1 species